GUGGGGAAUAUUGGACAAUGGGCGCAAGCCUGAUCCAGCCAUGCCGCGUGAGUGAUGAAGGCCUUCGGGUUGUAAAGCUCUUUAGUCCACGAAUAUAAUGACUGUAGUGGAAGAAUAAGCCCCGGCUAACUUCGUGCCAGCAGCCGCGGUAAUACGAAGGGGGCGAGCGUUAUUCGGAAUCACUGGGCGUAAAGCGUGCGUAGGCUGUUUUGUAAGUCAGAAGUGAAAGCCCAGGGCUUAACCCUGGAAUUGCUUUUGAAACUACAAGACUCGAAUUCGGGAGAGGAUAGCGGAAUUGUCAGUGUAGCAGUGAAAUGCGUAGAUAUUGACAGGAACACCAGUGGCGCAAGCGGCUAUCUGGACCGAUAUUGACGCUGAGGCACGAAAGCGUGGGGAGCAAACAGGAUUAGAUACCCUUGUAGUCC
rnacentral:rRNA from 1 species